rnacentral:RNase_P_RNA from 1 species
GAAGCCCGCCAGACUGCCGCUGGUGCAAGCCGCAAGGCCGGUGCGCAAGCACCGGGUGGAAACACCGCACUGGAGGAACGUCCGGACUGCACAGGGCAGCGUAGCAGCUAACGGCUGUCCACCGAAACCCGCGCGCGCAAGCCUGCGGGCCAAGGUGAGGAUCAGAGCAACAGAGACGAGUCGCCGGCGGGGCAACCUGGCGGCGGGUGAAACGGGCAAUCUCUACGCGCAGCAAUACCAAAUAGGCACACGCUCCGCCGCGCAGUCCGCUGCAUGGUGGUACCCGGGGCCCCCGGGAGUGUGCGGGUAGGUAGCACCGAGCCGUCGGGUGACCGGCGGCCCAGAGUAAUGGCAGUCACAUCCGGGGCGACCCGGGUGCACAGAAUCCGGCUUAUCGGUGGGCUUCACAC